rnacentral:piRNA from 1 species
UGACUGACUAACUCUUGUCUUCUGGUACUC